rnacentral:lncRNA from 1 species
CUGGCUUUAGGCAAAUCCUGAACUAUCUACCAGAUGUCAUGGCUAGACAGCCUUGUAGGGGGACCAUCAUGUUCCCUUCUAUUCCUUCUGAAUGUAUUCUUGAGUCUCCUAAAUUCAUGAUCAUGUGGCAAGAAAUAACGAUGACAAUCAAACCAUAAAUUUUUGCUGACAUGUCUCAAUGUGAAAGAUUUUGUUUUUUCCAUGCACUAUUGACAAGCCGUCUUUCCAGCUGUCAUCCACCCAGACAACAUUCCAAAAGUAGAAAAAUCAUUAACAGUCAACAUUAGAUAUGCACGCAGAUUGAAAUUUUGUUUAAGUGAGAUGUCCCAAG